UACGAAGGGAGCUAGCGUUGUUCGGAAUCACUGGGCGUAAAGCGCACGUAGGCGGAUGUGUCAGUCAGGGGUGAAAUCCCGGGGCUCAACUCCGGAACUGCCUUUGAAACUGCAUCGCUUGAAUCCGGGAGAGGUGAGUGGAAUUCCGAGUGUAGAGGUGAAAUUCGUAGAUAUUCGGAAGAACACCAGUGGCGAAGGCGGCUCACUGGACCGGUAUUGACGCUGAGGUGCGAAAGCGUGGGGAGCAAACAGG
rnacentral:rRNA from 1 species